ACAGACUGUAGCUUAAAUAAAGCCCUUCGCUUACACCGAAACAAUGCCUAAUAAACCUGGGCCGCUCUG
rnacentral:tRNA from 1 species